rnacentral:rRNA from 1 species
GUGGGGAAUAUUGGACAAUGGGCGAAAGCCUGAUCCAGCCAUGCCGCGUGUGUGAAGAAGGUCUUCGGAUUGUAAAGCACUUUAAGUUGGGAGGAAGGGCAGUAAGUUAAUACCUUGCUGUUUUGACGUUACCGACAGAAUAAGCACCGGCUAACUUCGUGCCAGCAGCCGCGGUAAUACGAAGGGUGCAAGCGUUAAUCGGAAUUACUGGGCGUAAAGCGCGCGUAGGUGGUUUUGUAAGUUGGAGGUGAAAUCCCCGGGCUCAACCUGGGAACUGACUCCAAAACUGCAGGACUAGAGUACGGUAGAGGGUAGUGGAAUUUACGGUGUAGCGGUGAAAUGCGUAGAUAUAGGAAGGAACACCAGUGGCGAAGGCGACUACCUGGACUGAUACUGACACUGAGGUGCGAAAGCGUGGGGAGCAAACAGGAUUAGAAACCCGUGUAGUCC